rnacentral:rRNA from 1 species
AGAGUUUGAUCAUGGCUCAGAUUGAACGCUGGCGGCAGGCUUAACACAUGCAAGUCGAGCGGUAACAGGAGAAAGCUUGCUUUCUUGCUGACGAGCGGCGGACGAGUGAGUAAUGCCUGGGAAAUUGCCCUGAUGUGGGGGAUAACCAUUGGAAACGAUGGCUAAUACCGCAUAGUAGCUUCGGCUUAAAGAGGGGGACCUUCGGGCCUCUCGCGUCAGGAUAUGCCCAGGUGGGAUUAGCUAGUUGGUGGGGUAAAGGCUCACCAAGGCGACGAUCUCUAGCUGGUCUGAGAGGAUGAUCAGCCACACUGGAACUGAGACACGGUCCAGACUCCUACGGGAGGCAGCAGUUGGGGAAUAUUGCACAAUGGGCGCAAGCCUGAUGCAGCCAUGCCGCGUGUAUGAAGAAGGCCUUCGGGUUGUAAAGUACUUUCAGUGGUGAGGAAGGUUAUGUAUUGAAUAGAUGCAUGAUUUGACGUUAGCCACAGAAGAAGCACCGGCUAACUCCGUGCCAGCAGCCGCGGUAAUACGGAGGGUGCGAGCGUUAAUCGGAAUUACUGGGCGUAAAGCGCAUGCAGGUGGUCUGUUAAGUCAGAUGUGAAAGCCCGGGGCUUAACCUCGGAAUAGCAUUUGAAACUGUCAGACUAGAGUACUGUAGAGGGGGGUAGAAUUUCAGGUGUAGCGGUGAAAUGCGUAGAGAUCUGAAGGAAUACCGGUGGCGAAGGCGGCCCCCUGGACAGAUACUGACACUCAGAUGCGAAAGCGUGGGGAGCAAACAGGAUUAGAUACCCUGGUAGUCCACGCCGUAAACGAUGUCUACUUGGAGGUUGUGGCCUUGAGCCGUGGCUUUCGGAGCUAACGCGUUAAGUAGACCGCCUGGGGAGUACGGUCGCAAGAUUAAAACUCAAAUGAAUUGACGGGGGCCCGCACAAGCGGUGGAGCAUGUGGUUUAAUUCGAUGCAACGCGAAGAACCUUACCUACUCUUGACAUCUACAGAAGCUUGCGGAGACGCGAGUGUGCCUUCGGGAACUGUAAGACAGGUGCUGCAUGGCUGUCGUCAGCUCGUGUUGUGAAAUGUUGGGUUAAGUCCCGCAACGAGCGCAACCCUUAUCCUUGUUUGCCAGCACGUAAUGGUGGGAACUCCAGGGAGACUGCCGGUGAUAAACCGGAGGAAGGUGGGGACGACGUCAAGUCAUCAUGGCCCUUACGAGUAGGGCUACACACGUGCUACAAUGGCGCAUACAGAGGGCGGCCAACUUGCAAAAGUGAGCGAAUCCCAAAAAGUGCGUCGUAGUCCGGAUUGGAGUCUGCAACUCGACUUCAUGAAG